rnacentral:rRNA from 11 species
UUUUAUAGCUAGGACAGAUAGCUUAAAGACACCAGAUACCAUCUGAUUUUGGGAGCUAAGCAGGGUCAGUCCUGUUAGUACUUGGAUGGGAGACUGCCAACAAAUAUAAAGUGUUGUAGACU